CACGUAGGGGACGAGCGUUGUCCGGAUUCAUUGGGCGUAAAGAGCUCGUAGGCGGUUCAGUCAGUCGGGUGUGAAAUCUCCGGGCUCAACUCGGAGGGGCCACCCGAUACUGCUGUGACUCGAGUCCGGUAGGGGAGUGGGGAAUUCCUGGUGUAGCGGUGAAAUGCGCAGAUAUCAGGAGGAACACCGGUGGCGAAGGCGCCACUCUGGGCCGGUACUGACGCUGAGGAGCGAAAGCGUGGGGAGCAAACAGG
rnacentral:rRNA from 1 species